UACGGAGGGUGCAAGCGUUGCUCGGAAUUAUUGGGCGUAAAGGGUAGGUAGGUGGUCUCAUUUGUCUGGGGUGAAAUCCUUGAGCUUAACUCAAGAAGUGCCUCGGAAACGGUGAGACUAGAGUUCUGGAGAGGGUCGUGGAAUUCCCGGUGUAGCGGUGAAAUGCGUAGAGAUCGGGAGGAACACCAGAGGCGAAGGCGGCGACCUGGACAGAUACUGACACUAAACUACGAAAGCGUGGGGAGCAAACAGG
rnacentral:rRNA from 1 species